CUGUAACGGACCGAACGGGUUCUUGUUCCAACCGAUGUUGUUGAGGAGGUUCCCUUGGAGCAAGAGUUGGAGGAUGCUGAUGAUGCAAUAUAGUAUUUUUAGGAUUUCUAAAUUUAAGUUGGUGUUAUUUUGAAAUACUCGAAACUGAUUAAGUUUUAAGUUCUAUCCUUUUGGAAUGACUGUAAUAUCAGCUACUGAACUACUAUUCAUUCUCUUUAUUGGAACGUG
rnacentral:sRNA from 1 species